AUCCCACCCAGACCACAGAGACUGAAAAUAAGAAAGGGGUGAGGCCUAAGGGACAAUCAGGAUGUUUUUCAGAGAGAAGUGUGGAUGCUGGACAGGAAGAACCACAGAUACCAGAUACGGGACAUACUUUAUUCAGCUGGGUGCUGAAAAAGAAUCUUGGAAAUUAGGAAACUGAAUGAGGCCUCAUUUCACACUCAGAAUGUGGGUUGCAAUAGUCACUUCCUCUGCUGCUGGGAAAGAAAGAAUUAUACUACCUUUUGAAUUUUGGAUUAAGGAGAGAGGUGUUGGCUUGUCAAACUACCAUGUAUUCCUCAAGACAUAUUUUUGUGGCUUUAUAAAAUUCAAUAUAUAUGUCUAAAUUCAAAAAUAUUUUGUUGCAAUCUGGCCCUUGGACAAACUGAGGCCCUAGCAACUGAUGUUUAUGGCUUUCCGUAGAACCUUUCAGAUAAAAUUUACACAGCAUUUUACUGCAGCUAUUUCACACAAAGCAGAGGAUUUUGCCACAAAACUGAAAGAAAAAAGAAACUGCAUUCUUAAAUUUUUCAUAAAUCAAAAGGUAUAAAAAUAUCUACCUAAACGAUAAAGGAGAUGAGAAACCCCACCCAUGAUGGGAAGAAAGCCUAUUUCAGUUUUGCCUUUACUUCAAGUUCUUUUUUCCAUAUCUGGAAUGCAAUCAGAAUUUUAAUCUUGCCUUGGGUUCCUCCUGGAUUUGGGGAGAAGACAAAACCUGAAAAUCUCUAAUCUGCAUGUGUUCAGCUGCGUAUCUUCUGGAUACGGAAGGAUCACACUGCACAGAGUGCUGGACUUGCAGGAGCCCCGCUUCUCAACCUCCAUCGCUUUAUGAAUGAAUUCACCAGAAAGAAAAGGAAGAAUCAACACUUUCAGAGAUGGAGCCUGUUGAGCCACAGUACCAACUAGUCAAUGCUGAAUCGACUUCUCCCUUUCUACAUUGCCUGAGAGAAGUCAUUGGGGAAUACUCUGUACACGAAUUUUCACUGUUGGGGAAAACAGAGAGUCAAGGGAUUGGAUUGUGGAUUGCAUUGGUGGUUUUCCUCAGUUUCCUCAUCUUCUCCACAAGUUUCUACAUAUCGAAUGCAGAGCAGCCCUUCUUCAAAGGACCUCCUACGGAAGCUGCUAAGGAACUCAGUCUGUAGCUCUGCGUGGAGCCAUGUGUAAACACUGAACUGAGACCUGCCACCUCCUACUACCUAAGGGCCCAUUUUCAUCUGAUAUCAUCCCCCAGAAACAAACUCAUGAUGACUUCCAUGUUUUUUUUAGAUUAGAUACAUGGAGAAUUUUCCUUUCCCUUAGAAUUAAAAUCCUGCAUUCUAAUUUUCAGGUAAAACUUUUUCGUCUCUACAGAACUCUCUCCAAGUGCACACCCAUAGAUUGGUUUGCUUGUGGAAUCCUAGCAUAUCAGAAAUGAAGGAAUCUCAGAAAUUGUUUUCAUCAAACACCUCAUAUGCAGAAGGCAAAAUGAAGGUUCAGAGCAGAAAUGAUUUGUCCAAGGAUGCAACACUCAUCUGCAGCAGAGGGAAGCUGAGCUCUGCAGACCCACCUAGCACUGCAGAGGCAGCCCUCUAGGACAAGGCUUCAUAAAAAAGUGACUUUAUGAGUUGGCUCCAUAAAAAAGAUACAGAUUAAGAAAUUGUUUAAACAGUGAUCUCUAUAUAAUUACUCUUUUAUUUAAAAGUAUGGGCUGGGAGCGGUGGCUGACGCCUGUAAUCCCAGCACUUUGGGAGGCCGAUGUGAGCAGAUAACCUGAGGUCGGGAGUUAGAGACCAGCCUGACCAACAUGGAGAAACUCCGUCUCUACUAAAAAUACAAAAUUAGCAGGGUGUGGUGGUGCAUGCCUGUAAUCCCAGCUACUCGGGAGGCUGAGGCAGGAGAACUGCUUGAACCCAGGAGGCAGAGGUUGUGGUGAGCCGAGAUCGCGCCAUUGCACUCCAGCCUGGGCAACAAGAGCGAAACUCUGUCUCAAAAUAAAUAAAUAAAUAAGUAUUCCUUUCCCAGUCUUUUGCUGUGUGGAGCCAAGAUUUUUAUUUGCAGAAGUCUGCAGGGCUGGUGUGAUCUCUUUCAG
rnacentral:lncRNA from 1 species